GUGCUCGCUUCAGCAGCACAUAUACUAAAAUUGGAAUGAUACAGAGAAGAUUAGCAUAGCCCCUGCACAAGAAGUGAUCCCUGCAUUCUGAUCCAGCAGUAAGUUUU